rnacentral:rRNA from 1 species
AGUGAACGCUGGCGGUAGGCCUAACACAUGCAAGUCGAACGGCAGCACAGUAAGAGCUUGCUCUUACGGGUGGCGAGUGGCGGACGGGUGAGGAAUACAUCGGAAUCUACUUUUUCGUGGGGGAUAACGUAGGGAAACUUACGCUAAUACCGCAUACGACCUACGGGUGAAAGCAGGGGAUCUUCGGACCUUGCGCGAUUGAAUGAGCCGAUGUCGGAUUAGCUAGUUGGCGGGGUAAAGGCCCACCAAGGCGACGAUCCGAAGCUGGUCUGAGAGGAUGAUCAGCCACACUGGAACUGAGACACGGUCCAGACUCCUACGGGAGGCAGCAGUGGGGAAUAUUGGACAAUGGGCGCAAGCCUGAUCCAGCCAUACCGCGUGGGUGAAGAAGGCCUUCGGGUUGUAAAGCCCUUUUGCUGGGAAAGAAAAGCAGCAGGUUAAUACCCCGCUGUUCUGACGGUACCCAAAGAAUAAGCACCGGCUAACUUCGUG